GAUGAACGCUGGCGGCGUGCCUAAUACAUGCAAGUCGAGCGAACAGACGAGGAGCUUGCUCCUCUGACGUUAGCGGCGGACGGGUGAGUAACACGUGGAUAACCUACCUAUAAGACUGGGAUAACUUCGGGAAACCGGAGCUAAUACCGGAUAACAUGUUGAACCGCAUGGUUCAACAGUGAAAGACGGUUUUGCUGUCACUUAUAGAUGGAUCCGCGUCGCAUUAGCUAGUUGGUAAGGUAACGGCUUACCAAGGCAACGAUGCGUAGCCGACCUGAGAGGGUGAUCGGCCACACUCGAACUGAGACACGGUCCAGACUCCUACGGGAGGCAGCAGUAGGGAAUCUUCCGCAAUGGGCGAAAGCCUGACGGAGCAACGCCGCGUGAGUGAAGAAGGUCUUCGGAUCGUAAAACUCUGUUAUUAGGGAAGAACAAAUGUGUAAGUAACUAUGCACGUCUUGACGGUACCUAAUCAGAAAGCCACGGCUAACUACGUG
rnacentral:rRNA from 1 species